CCUACGGGGGACUGCAGUGGGGAAUAUUGGGCAAUGGGCGCAAGCCUGACCCAGCAACGCCGCGUGAAGGAAGAAGGCUUUCGGGUUGUAAACUUCUUUUAAGAGGGAAGAGCAGAAGACGGUACCUCUUGAAUAAGCCACGGCUAACUACGUGCCAGCAGCCGCGGUAAUACGGAGGUGGCAAGCGUUGUCCGGAUUUACUGGGUGUAAAGGGCGUGCAGCCGGGAAGGCAAGUCAGAUGUGAAAUCCCCCGGCUCAACCGCGGAACUGCAUUUGAAACUGGUUUUCUUGAGUACCGGAGAGGGGAGUAGAAUUCCAUGGGGAGCGGGGAAAUGCGGAGAGAAAAGGAAGAAAACCAGGGGCGAAGGCGGAUGACUGGAC
rnacentral:rRNA from 1 species